rnacentral:misc_RNA from 1 species
UGCGUACGCCUCUGCCCUCCCUCUCUAUCCCCAAACUCAUCCGCCAGCCUGUCUCUUUGCCGAUUGUGCUCGCGCUUGAGUGCGGGAGGGAGGAGGCUACCAUCGGCCACUCCUCGCCAUGCCCGUCGACGGACACCUUAUCGCUGAUGUGCAGCGACUUCGCCAGCUCGGGGAGCAGUCGCUCUUCCUCCUCGUUGUCGGCGGUAAAGGUGCGGGCAAAAGUACGGCACUUCAGAGCUUCGCCAGCGGACUGCAGGUGGCGACCAAGGUUCGGCACGCGGCCGGAGUGCACGACUGUGCUCUUACCGCACCGGCAGCUGCUUCACCCGACGAUGACUUCACACUGUGGACGCUGACCUACGCCACUGUGGCGCACAGCAGCUCGACGUUAGGCGCACUCUCUACCCGUGCACCACUGUUGCGGCCCUUCUCGAUCGUUGUCGCUGAUGACAUUGACCUCCUCUGGCUUCUAUGCAGCAUGAACGGCCUUCUGCCACCCCUCCAGUGUCUUCUCCACGCAGUGUUGACGAGCUCGUCGUGUGCGGUCGUGGCCAGUGCUCCUAGUCAGGACACGGUACCGCCAUGGCUACUAGAACAAAAGCUACCUGCUCUCUACCCGCUCCGCGAGCUUACCGAGGCGGGAGCGAGGCGGCUGUUGCGCAGCGUUCCGCAGCCACUCUUCAAAUCACGUGGCGAGCUGCUCAUUAGUGCACAGACCCCCUUCACAUCACGUCAAAUGUUUCUCUUCAACGCAUGCAUGGCACUGGAGGCCGCCUCGCACGGCGCUACCGGAGAAAAGCUGCGCUCACUGGUUCAGGAGGACCGCGCCUUCCUCCACCACCGGCGUUCCCCUACUGGCUCCCAGCGCGCACCUCCCCACCUUUACGGUUUAGGCGAGGUUCGCCAUCGCAUCAGCACUCUUGUCUCUGUCUUCGCCGCACACAGUAGCCCAGGCGGUGGCGGUCAGCUGAUGGCAUCCCUCCCCUCUUCCACCGGGUUGCUUCUUCACGGCCCCUCGGGGUGCGGAAAGUCCAGCCUCGCCCGACAGACGGCCGCCGAUUUUCCGUCUAUCCCAUUUUUCUUUGUGGAAUGCACGAUGCUAUUUUCCAAGUACCUCGGAGAGAGUGAGGCGCAGUUGCGGGAGGUUUACCGUCGAGCACGGACGCGCACUCCGGCGGUGGUGGUACUGGAGGACCUGGACGUCAUCGCACAGUCUCGCGGCGCGGUGCAGCACGGAGGCGGGGACCAGAGCAGCGGCAACAGCAAAAGCCAGCUCGACGUCACAAGGCGCAUGCUGGCGGGUCUCCUCUGCGAGCUGGACGGCGUCACAGACAACAGUGGCGUACUCACCAUUGGAAUCACUAAUGCACCGCAGGUGCUCGACGCUGCCGUCCUCCGCCAGGGCCGACUUGAAACGCUUGUGUACAUUCCGCCCCUCACCCAGGACGGAGCAGAGGAAUGGUGCACGCAUUUUUUCGAGCGAUUCGACGGCGCAGAGGGGCAGAGGCGCGAGUGCGUCGUGAUGGUGGCCAGCCACGCGGUCGGCUGCGCUGCCGCGUCGCUGCAGUACGUCCUGCGAAAAGUGUUCGAAGCAUGUGCGCUGCGUCACGGUUGGGACGCAGCCUCAGCCGGCUCGCUGCCCUUGCCGACCCUUGCGGAGAUUCAGGGACACCUCUUCGAGAGCUGCUCCGUGCUGCGGCGCGUGAACCACCCACACUUCGAGUAAUGGGCGCCUCUCACAACGCCUGUUAAACAAAACAU